AGAGUUUGAUCCUGGCUCAGGAUGAACGCUAGCGGCAGGCUUAAUACAUGCAAGUCGAACGGCAGCACGUGUAGCAAUACAUGGUGGCGAGUGGCGCACGGGUGCGUAACACGUAUGUAACCUACCUCUAACAGUGGCAUAACAAUGAGAAAUUAUUGCUAAUUCCGCAUGUGGUUAAUUUGAGGCAUCUUAGAUUAACUAAAGAUUUAUCGGUUAGAGCUGGGCAUGCGUCCCAUUAGCUAGUUGGUGAGGUAACGGCUCACCAAGGCAUCGAUGGGUAGGGGCUCUGAGAGGAUUGUCCCCCACACUGGUACUGAGACACGGACCAGACUCCUACGGGAGGCAGCAGUAAGGAAUAUUGGGCAAUGGACGCAAGUCUGACCCAGCCAUGCCGCGUGAAGGAAGACGGCUCUAUGGGUUGUAAACUUCUUUUCUCAGGGGGUAAACUCUGGAACGUGUUCCGGACUGAAAGUACCUGAGGAAUAAGCAUCGGCUAACUCCGUGCCAGCAGCCGCGGUAAUACGGAGGAUGCGAGCGUUAUCCGGAUUCAUUGGGUUUAAAGGGUGCGCAGGCGGAUAUAUAAGUCGGAGGUGAAAUUCUGAUGCUCAACAUCAGCCGUGCCUUCGAUACUGUAUAUCUAGAGUCAAGUUGGAGUAGGCGGAAUGUGUUGUGUAGCGGUGAAAUGCUUAGAUAUAACACAGAACACCGAUCGCGAAGGCAGCUUACGAAACUUUGACUGACGCUCAUGCACGAAAGCGUGGGGAUCAAACAGGAUUAGAUACCCUGGUAGUCG
rnacentral:rRNA from 1 species